UCUGAAUCUGGCGUACGGCUCCGCAAACCAGUUGUAAACUAUAGCAAGCCCGUCUCGUCCCUGCCCUCACGGGUGGGAGCUUGACAAGAUGGAUAACCCUGGUAAUUCUGAGGCUAAUACAAGAACGUAAAACCCGGCUGACUGCUCACGCGGGAGGCUGGGGGACGUGCGAGGAUGGUCGCGAGAAUAUCUGGGGGAGGACGCACGUUUAGACCGCGCUACAAAGGAUGGGAUUCCCUCACGGGAGACCUGCCCCAGUGGCUCUUGCAUUGUGCUUCUGACCUAUCAACUAGAUGGCAGCGUAACGGACAUGCUAUGGUGACAACGGUA
rnacentral:rRNA from 1 species